rnacentral:rRNA from 1 species
AUUGAACGCUGGCGGCAGGCUUAACACAUGCAAGUCGAGCGGGGUGAUGGUGCUUGCACUAUCACUUAGCGGCGGACGGGUGAGUAAUGCUUAGGAAUCUGCCUAUUAGUGGGGGACAACAUCUCGAAAGGGAUGCUAAUACCGCAUACGUCCUACGGGAGAAAGCGGGGGAUCACUUGUGACCUUGCGCUAAUAGAUGAGCCUAAGUCGGAUUAGCUAGUUGGUGGGGUAAAGGCCUACCAAGGCGACGAUCUGUAGCGGGUCUGAGAGGAUGAGCCGGCACACUGGGACGGAGACACGGCCCAGACUCCUACGGGAGGCAGCAGUGGGGAAUAUUGGACAAUGGGGGGAACCCUGAUCCAGCCAUGCCGCGUGUGUGAAGAAGGCCUUAUGGUUGUAAAGCACUUUAAGCGAGGAGGAGGCUCUUUUGGUUAAUACCCAAGAUGAGUGGACGUUACUCGCAGAAUAAGCACCGGCUAACUCUGUGCCAGCAGCCGCGGUAA